GCUACGCCCGCCCACCACUCCAAUAUAAGAUGCAGCCAGGUGUCAGUCAUCCACCGGCUGCUUCCUUCACCUUCAUCUGUGAAUAGUAAGUUUGUUUCCUUGAUGUUGUAGUUGUUCAUCCCUCCUGUUUUACGUGCUCUAACACACUGUUCUAUGUUUUAGAAAACCCUGAAGCAACAGUAUCAAGACGUGCAGGAUGAUCCUGACUGCGGGUAUCUGUUUGAUCGUCACCAGUUUGGCCACCAUCACGACUGCAAGUUCUGGAGUGGUUGAUGGCAAUUACUGUGCUAGAAACAGUGAUGGGUAUUACGCCAACCCAAACGAUGCCACUUGUUACUACAUGUGUUCCUGUGGAGGAACCUUCAACCGAUGCUGCCUGACAGGUUACAUCUUCCAAGAAAGCUCCAGCAAGUGUGUACCAAACCCAAACACAACCCCUGCUCCCACAGCUACAACUACUAGAUCUACAACUACACCGACCACAACUACUACAACUACUCGGUCUACCACAAGCAUUACAACUACUUCAAUCCCUGGUUUCUGCCAGGGGAUGAGUGAUGGGUAUUACGCCGACCCAAACAGUCCAGGUUGUUAUUACAUGUGUUCCUGUGGAGUAACCUUCCCCAAAUGCUGCCUGACAGGUUACAACUAUAAAGCUAGUUCCAGCAGCUGUGGGUGACUGUGAAGCAUUUCACAUAGCUUCAUCAAUAACAUAAUAUGUUAAAGUUUCCUAAAUUUAAUUUUUACUCAUAAUGAUUCUCCAUUGUGCUUGAAAAAAGGCUAAAUAACUGCUAUUUUGCGCUUCUAAAUUCCUUCUUUACAAUGAAAAAUCUAUUUACACAGCCAGUCUCUCCAUCAUUGCAACUUGUAUUGACAGUGAAUUGUUUUGUUUGAAUUUGUUUUCAGACAUCCAGCAUGUUGAACAUAAUAAAGGAUUAUUGCAUGAAAUUGUAUUUUGCUUG
rnacentral:lncRNA from 1 species